CCUCGGGGUGCAGCAGUGAGGAAUAUUGCACAAUGGGGGGAACCCUGAUGCAGCAACGCCGCGUGGAGGAUGACGCAUUUCGGUGUGUAAACUCCUUUUAUAUGUCAAGAAAAUGACGGUAGCAUAUGAAUAAGCACCGGCUAACUCCGUGCCAGCAGCCGCGGUAAUACGGAGGGUGCAAGCGUUACUCGGAGUCACUGGGCGUAAAGGACGCGUAGGCGGGUUGGAAAGUCAGGUGUGAAAUCCUACAGCUUAACUGUAGAACUGCACUUGAAACUUCUAAUCUAGAGUAUGGGAGGGGGAGAUGGAAUUAGUGGUGUAGGGGUAAAAUCCGUAGAUAUCACUAGGAAUACCUAAAGCGAAGGCGAUCUCCUGGAACAUUACUGACGCUAAGGCGUGAAAGCGUGGGGAGCAAACAGGAUUAGAUACCCGCGUAGUC
rnacentral:rRNA from 1 species